rnacentral:tmRNA from 1 species
GGGGGUGUAAUUGGAUCUCGACUGGGAUGAGCGGGAAGUAGAGAAGCAAGCCGUGGUUGAUCGAAGGGCCACGUGAAAAAUCGAUUGAUUAGUAACUGCUAACAACAGCGAAUACAACCUGAACGAAGUAGCUAUUGCUGCAUAAGCAAUAGCCAUCUUAGCGAUGGUUUUCGGCCCCCGGUUCUGCCGCGGGCUGGGCGGGAGCGGCGACGAUGUCUGGUAAUCGUUGUCUUCUGUAACACCACCAGGCUGGUUUUUUGCGGGGCUGUGACGCAAGAAACGAGAACAACCGCAGCUGGCGUGAUAUGAGGUCGCCCGAUACCAAGACCAUCACGCAAGAUCAAAAUUACGGGCUAAGCUUGUAGAAUGCUAUUUCCUCCAGCCACAGGACCCGGGUUCGACUCCCGGCACCUCCACCA